CCCUUCUAUAAAGGCAUGUCAGUGGUUUCCUGUCCUUGGACACCUAAGAAUUUGAGGCAAAGAGAUGUGGACUUGGAGAAGUCUGGAGCCAGCUUGCCGCCCACAGGCUUAAGAUCAUCCUUCCCACACAG
rnacentral:snoRNA from 1 species